rnacentral:lncRNA from 1 species
AAAUUGCAGCGAAGGAAUGUUUUUUUGCCGUAAUUAGUAUGAACCAUGGGUAACAAGAAAUUGUUAUUAGCCGCAAAUCUGGUUGCAUUUUUAUUCUGCAAA